UACGUAGGGCGCGAGCGUUAUUCGGAAUUAUUGGGCGUAAAGCGCUCGUAGGCGGUUUGGCAAGUCAGAUGUGAAAUCCCCGGGCUUAACCUGGGAACUGCAUUUGUGACGGCAUGGCUGGAGUGCGGCAGAGGGGGAUGGAAUUCCGCGUGUAGCAGUGAAAUGCGUAGAUAUCCGGAGGAACACCGAUGGCGAAGGCAAUCCCCUGGGCCUGAACUGACGCUCAUGCACGAAAGCGUGGGGAGCAAACAGG
rnacentral:rRNA from 1 species